AAGACUAUACUUUCGGGGAUCAUUUCUAUACUUUAACUAGAGAAGUUUCUCUGAAUGUAUAGAGCAGGAAACCAGGAGGAGGAGGUGCAGCGUUCUCUCCUGAGUGUGAAGCUGGCUUUGCUGCAACUGCUGUUUGCCACUGAUGAUCGUUCUCUCCUUUUGGGGCAGUGAGAGGGAGAGGACACAGUCUGAGUGGU
rnacentral:snoRNA from 1 species